rnacentral:rRNA from 1 species
GGCCUGAGAGGGUGAUCGGACACACUGGAACUGAGACACGGUCCAGACUCCUACGGGAGGCAGCAGUAGGGAAUAUUGCUCAAUGGGGGAAACCCUGAAGCAGCAACGCCGCGUGGAGGAUGAAGGUUCUAGGAUUGUAAACUCCUUUUGUAAGAGAAGAUUAUGACGGUAUCUUACGAAUAAGCACCGGCUAACUCCGUGCCAGCAGCCGCGGUAAUACGGAGGGUGCAAGCGUUACUCGGAAUCACUGGGCGUAAAGAGCGCGUAGGCGGGUGGUCAAGUCAGAUGUGAAAUCCUGUAGCUUAACUACAGAACUGCAUUUGAAACUGAUCAUCUAGAGUAUGGGAGAGGUAGGUGGAAUUCUUGGUGUAGGGGUAAAAUCCGUAYAGAUCAAGAGGAAUACUCAUUGCSAAGGCGACCUGCUGGAACAUUACUGACGCUGAUGCGCGAAAGCGUGGGGAGCAAACAGGAUUAGAUACCCUGGUAKUCCACGCCCUAAACGAUGAAUGCUAGUUGUUGCCCUGCCUGUCAGGGCAGUAAUGCAGCUAACGCAUUAAGCAUUCCGCCUGGGGAGUACGGUCGCAAGAUUAAAACUCAAAGGAAUAGACGGGGACCCGCACAAGCGGUGGAGCAUGUGGUUUAAUUCGAGGAUACGCGAAGAACCUUACCUAGGCUUGACAUUGMUAGAAUCCGCUAGAGAUAGUGGAGUGCUGGCUUGCCAGAGCUUGAAAACAGGUGCUGCACGGCUGUCGUCAGCUCGUGUCGUGAGAUGUUGGGUUAAGUCCCGCAACGAGCGCAACCCUCGUCCUUAGUUGCUAGCAGCUCGGCUGAGCACUCUAAGGAGACUGCCUUCGUAAGGAGGAGGAAGGUGAGGACGACGUCAAGUCAUCAUGGCCCUUACGCCUAGGGCUACACACGUGCUACAAUGGGACAUACAARAWGAUGCAAUACCGCGAGGUGGAGCAAAUCUCUAAAAUGUCUCUCAGUUCGGAUUGUAGUCUGCAACUCGACUACAUAAAGCUGGAAUCGCUAGUAAUCGUGAAUCAGCAACGUCACGGUGAAUACGUUCCCGGGUCUUGUACUCACCGCCCGUCACACCAUGGGAGUUGUAUUCGCCUUAAGUCGGGAUACUAAAUUGGUUACCGCCCACGGCGGAUG